AGGACGAACGCUGGCGGCGCGCCUAACACAUGCAAGUCGAACGAGCGAGAGAGAGCUUGCUUUCUCGAGCGAGUGGCGAACGGGUGAGUAACGCGUGAGGAACCUGCCUCAAAGAGGGGGGACAACAGUUGGAAACGACUGCUAAUACCGCAUAAGCCCACGGCUCGGCAUCGAGCAGAGGGAAAAGGAGCAAUCCGCUUUGAGAUGGCCUCGCGUCCGAUUAGCUAGUUGGUGAGGUAACGGCCCACCAAGGCAACGAUCGGUAGCCGGACUGAGAGGUUGAACGGCCACAUUGGGACUGAGACACGGCCCAGACUCCUACGGGAGGCAGCAGUGGGGAAUAUUGCACAAUGGGGGAAACCCUGAUGCAGCGACGCCGCGUGGAGGAAGAAGGUCUUCGGAUUGUAAACUCCUGUUGUUGGGGAAGAUAAUGACGGUACCCGACAAGGAAGUGACGGCUAACUACGUG
rnacentral:rRNA from 1 species